AGUUAGAUUGUAACCGCUAUUGAU
rnacentral:siRNA from 1 species